AGAGUUUGAUCAUGGCUCAGGACGAACGCUGGCGGCGUGCUUAACACAUGCAAGUCGAACGGAAAGGCCCUUCGGGGUACUCGAGUGGCGAACGGGUGAGUAACACGUGGGUGAUCUGCCCUGCACUUUGGGAUAAGCCUGGGAAACUGGGUCUAAUACCGAAUAUGACCACGCUCUUCAUGGGGUGUGGUGGAAAGCUUUUGCGGUGUGGGAUGGGCCCGCGGCCUAUCAGCUUGUUGGUGGGGUAAUGGCCUACCAAGGCGACGACGGGUAGCCGGCCUGAGAGGGUGACCGGCCACACUGGGACUGAGAUACGGCCCAGACUCCUACGGGAGGCAGCAGUGGGGAAUAUUGCACAAUGGGCGCAAGCCUGAUGCAGCGACGCCGCGUGAGGGAUGACGGCCUUCGGGUUGUAAACCUCUUUCACCAGAGACGAAGCGCAAGUGACGGUACCUGGAGAAGAAGCACCGGCCAACUACGUGCCAGCAGCCGCGGUAAUACGUAGGGUGCGAGUGUUGUCCGGAAUUACUGGGCGUAAAGAGCUCGUAGGUGGUUUGUCGCGUUGUUCGUGAAAACUCACAGCUUAACUGUGGGCGUGCGGGCGAUACGGGCAGACUAGAGUACUGUAGGGGAGACUGGAAUUCCUGGUGUAGCGGUGGAAUGCGCAGAUAUCAGGAGGAACACCGGUGGCGAAGGCGGGUCUCUGGGCAGUAACUGACGCUGAGGAGCGAAAGCGUGGGGAGCGAACAGGAUUAGAUACCCUGGUAGUCCAA
rnacentral:rRNA from 1 species